rnacentral:rRNA from 1 species
GACGAACGCUGGCGGCGUGCUUAACACAUGCAAGUCGAACGGGAUAAUUUGAGAGCUUGCUCUUAGAGAAUCUAGUGGCAAACGGGUGAGUAACACGUAGACAACCUGCCGACAGGAUGGGGACAACAUUCCGAAAGGAAUGCUAAUACCGAAUGAAGCGGAGGAGAGGCAUCUCUCCUCCGUGAAAGAUGGCCUCUGAAUAUGCUAUCACCUGUCGAUGGGUCUGCGUCUGAUUAGCUAGUUGGUGAGGUAACGGCUCACCAAGGCGACGAUCAGUAGCCGGUCUGAGAGGAUGAACGGCCACAUUGGGACUGAGACACGGCCCAGACUCCUACGGGAGGCAGCAGUGGGGAAACUUCCGCAAUGGGCGCAAGCCUGACGGAGCAACGCCGCGUGAGGGAAGAAGGGCUUCGGAUCGUAAAGCUCUGUUGACGGGGACGAACGUGCGAAGGGUGAAUAAUCCUUUGUAAUGACGGUACCUGUCGAGGAAGCCACGGCUAACUACGUG